UACGUAGGGCGCAAGCGUUAUCCGGAAUUAUUGGGCGUAAAGAGCUCGUAGGCGGUUUGUCGCGUCUGCCGUGAAAGUCCGGGGCUCAACUCCGGAUCUGCGGUGGGUACGGGCAGACUAGAGUGAUGUAGGGGGAGACUGGAAUUCCUGGUGUAGCGGUGAAAUGCGCAGAUAUCAGGAGGAACACCCGGUGGCGAAGGCGGGUCUCUGGGCCGUAACUGGCGCUGAGGAGCGAAAGCGUGGGGAGCGAACAGG
rnacentral:rRNA from 1 species